rnacentral:lncRNA from 1 species
UUUUCUCAAAGGAAGUGUUCUCACUGACCCAGUUUUAAUCACAUACAUAACUAAAUCUGUACUUGAACGCACGUAAAUAUUUGGUUUAGGGAAAAGUUAUCUUCCUGGUCAGAAAUACUCUAAACAGUUGUGCUGUCCUGCAUGUCUCUUCAGGGAACAACGCUUCAAUAACUAAGACAGCUUGCUCAGUCACCAAAUUGACAUGUGACAUAAGUUUUUAUCACUUAUAUAAUUAUAGUAAUACAAGAACUUAUUUAAAAUUACACAAACAUUACUAUAGAAAAUCAAAAGGUUGUAUUAUUAAAGUAACAUCUUCACAAUUUCCAUUAUACAUAUAUUUUUAUCUCUCCUUGUCUUUAUCUUCAAAAAGAGAUAUUUACAUAGUUUGUAAGUAGCAUGUGUGAAAUUUUAGGGCCUUCAUUUCUUCACUAUAUCACAUUUUAAUAUGUCAUGACAAUCUUCUAAAUUUCAACUGAUUUGAAUGAAAAAUAUUUUUUAAUAUAAGAAACAUUAUGACAUUUAUGUUACGUUAUUUUCCCCCUCACUAUAUUCUUUAGCUCCAUUCUUAGAAGUCAGAUCAUGCAAUGAGAGGUUGAACAUUUUAAUAACCCGUACAAUAUCUUACCCAUCCUUCCAAAGAUAUGGUAUUUUUUUUUCCUACAACCAACAGAACAUUGGUAUGAGAAUUCCUUUUGUGCAGUGUGAGAAGGAACGUUAAUGAGGGUUCCCAAGGGACUACAGUCUUGAGGAAAACACUGAACCAAGCUUUCGGAAGUGCUGCUUCACCUCAACUGUAUGAGUCAUGCAAGCAUCGGCAGAGCACUGCUUUGGUUCCCCAGAAACUAACAGAAACAGAAGAUUCAGAACGAGAAAUAGGAAGAAAAAUAGAGGAGAAGAGAAACGUUCUCCUUUCCCAAUUAAAAAUUGGCUGAUGUGUAGUGGCACCAGGAAAACUCCUGGAUGGAAUAAGAUCCAUACAUGUGAAAAUGAAGAAAGAAGGGAAAUAAUUAAAAGAACGAAGGAAAGAAAAGGAGAAAAAAGGGAAAGAAAAUGAGAUUUUUUUCCUUUAGAUUAUUUUCAGCAUACAUUAAGGUAAUGUGCCCAGGCUUUUAAAUUUCAUAGACCUGCAAAAACAUUUUGUUCCCUCUUCCUAUUGCUCACUUCUCUGCAUAAAGGCAUUGUAAAACACACAUUAUUGUCAGUAUCUUCUUCA